UAGUCCAUAGAGACACAAACACAUAAAUGUAUAGGAUUAAGUCGGCGAGAGAAUGAGAUAGAACACAUUAGACGUUCUCGGUCUCUUCUUUGUGCGACUCUUCGUAGCAUCCCCACUAUCGUCUACUAAACAUUGUCCAUAUGUAUGCUCCUGUGUAAUGGGAUAGUCAGUUUAUCUAUAUCUAUAUCUUGCUCCAGGUCCGAGCGUUCUACGUGUUUAUGUUAGUAUGUGUUUAAUGCAUGUAUUAAAAAAACGAAUCAAAUA